UUGUGACAAUGCAAAGUAUUUGAUGUUUUGCUAUAUCUUUUUUUUUCUUAGAGAUAAAAGCAGAUAGACCAAGUUUGCUCACACAAAUCCACAACAUUAUUUACUGGAAUGAAAAUAUAAAAAUAUUAUUUGCUUCAGAGAAUAGCCGUAGGGAGACACUUGAGCGUUAUACUAUAUACCCAAGAAAAGCUUAUGUAAGGACAAGAAGCUCUCCAUUAGUGCAUUUGACAAAAUCUUCAGAAGAAAUAUGAGUUUCUUGAAGCCUGUAAUUUACACAACUCCUAACAAAUUACUCUCAUUUCUGCCUUACGAUGAUUUUCUGUUUGAAGUCACUCCAAACCUCUUGUGUUAUAAGACUCCGCAUUUUUCAUACAGAUUGUUUUUGGGAGUAACAUCACUGGAUUAUGAAAUGAACCCCCUGGACCCACUUUUGAAUACCUGGUUUUUUUUUGAAAACAGAUGGAAGACCUUAACAGGAUUACAAGAUGGAUAGCAACCUAAUACAUCAGGCCAAUAUUUACUUCAUGUAGGAUGGAGAAUACCUUUGUCAAUGAGAGAAAUGCAGUAAUUCCUUCACAAACAGGUCACUCUAUGUGUGUCUUACUAAAUUAAAUGUUAGAAACAGUCCCACCUCAAAAAAUAAAAACACACCAAGAAAACA
rnacentral:lncRNA from 1 species